rnacentral:rRNA from 1 species
UACGGAGGGUGCAAGCGUUGCUCGGAAUUAUUGGGCGUAAAGGGCAGGUAGGUGGUCCGAUUUGUCAGGGGUGAAAGCCUUGGGCUUAACUCAAGAAGUGCCCCUGAAACGGUCGGACUAGAGUGCUGGAGAGGUUAGUGGAAUUCCCGGUGUAGCGGUGAAAUGCGUAGAGAUCGGGGAGGAACACCAGAGGCGAAGGCGGCUGAACUGGACAGUGACUGACACUCAACU